GACAGAGGGUGCAAACGUUGUUCGGAAUUACUGGGCGUAAAGCGCGUGUAGGCGGCCAUGCAAGUCGGAUGUGAAAGCCCUCGGCUCAACCGGGGAAGUGCACCCGAAACUGCAAGGCUAGAGUCUCGGAGAGGAUCGUGGAAUUCUCGGUGUAGAGGUGAAAUUCGUAGAUAUCGAGAGGAACACCGGUGGCGAAGGCGGCGAUCUGGACGGUGACUGACGCUGAGACGCGAAAGCGUGGGGAGCAAACAGG
rnacentral:rRNA from 1 species